ensembl:snRNA U6 U6 spliceosomal RNA
GUGCUCACUUGGGCAGCACAUAUACUAAAAUUGGAACGAUAGAGAUUAACAUGACCCUUGCGCAAGGAUGACAUGCAAAUUUGUGAAGCAUUUCAUAUUAAA